rnacentral:pre_miRNA from 1 species
UAUGGGGCACCAGUUGGGCAGUGAUUUGUUAUAUGGGGCAACUGGCGGCCCAUGUAACAAAUCACUGCCCAACUGGUGCCCCAUAU